rnacentral:rRNA from 1 species
CAGCAGCCGCGGUAAUACGGAGGGUGCAAGCGUUAAUCGGAAUUACUGGGCGUAAAGCGCACGCAGGCGGUCUGACAAGUCAGAUGUGAAAUCCCCGGGCUUAACCUGGGAACUGCAUUUGAAACUGUCAGGCUGGAGUCUUGUAGAGGGGGGUAGAAUUCCAGGUGUAGCGGUAAAAUGCGUAGAGAUCUGGAGGAAUACCGGUGGCGAAGGCGGCCCCCUGGACAAAGACUGACGCUCAGGUGCGAAAGCGUGGGGAGCAAACAGGAUUAGAUACCCCUGUAGUCCCUGUCUCUUAUAC